rnacentral:rRNA from 1 species
UGGGGAAUAUUGCGCAAUGGGGGCAACCCUGACGCAGCAAUACCGCGUGAGUGAAGAAGGUUUUCGGAUCGUAAAGCUCUGUUAUUGGGGAAGAAAAAAGACGGUACCCAAGAAGAAAGUCCCGGCUAACUACGUGCCAGCAGCCGCGGUACUACGUAGGGGACAAGCGUUGUCCGGAUUGACUGGGCGUAAAGGGCACGCAGGCGGUUUUUUAAGUCAGAUGUGAAAGGUACCGGCUCAACCGGUGACAUGCAUUUGAAACUGAAAGACUUGAGGAGUGGAGAGGCAAGUGGAAUCCCUAGUGUAGCGGGGAAAUGCGUAGAGAUUAGGAGGAACACCGGUGGCGAAGGCGGCUUGCUGGACAAAUACUGACGCUGAGGUGCGAAAGCGUGGGGAGCAAACA